CGCUAAGAAGCUAAAUCGGACUCCCAGCGUCAGCCUUUUAAGCUGAAGAUUGGUGCCUUCCAACCACCCCUAGCGA
rnacentral:tRNA from 1 species